rnacentral:tRNA from 1 species
GAGGGUAUAGCUCAGUGUGUAGAGUGUGUGCUUGGCAUGUAUGAGAUCCUGGGUUCAAUCCCCAGUAAUUCCA